AUUGAUUUUUCUAUUAACCGCCUAAGUAAAAAAUUUGGCUCCAACAAUAAAGAAAAAAGAGCACUUCUGGGCUCCGAUUAAAAAUAAUUUAACCUAAUUUCUUCCCCUUUUGCUCCCCUUAUCUCUUCUUUCACAGUAUCUUACUGUCUUGCUCCUAAUCUCAGCAUCGAAUCACAAAAACCAGCAAAUGCCUAGCCAUUGUCAUCGUUUAACUGUUAGGGAUUUAGGUCUUUGAUUGGUCUAAGGCAGUUGAUUUUGGGUUUUCGUUAGUUGUUUCUCUUAGUUUAAUCGAUUUUAGUUUCAAUUCAUUUGUAGCUAGAAUUCAUUAAAGGAUCUCGUAUUCAUCGUCACUAUCAUCUCCGGUUCCAAUAGAUUGCUUGCUUCUUGAGCGCAUGAUUACUGGGCGCUGUGAUGGCUUCGUAGGCUUUAACACUCCCAAUUUUUUCUCUCUCUCAUUUUUGGCUUGAAUCACGAAUUUGGAGUUUGAUUAUAUUUGUUACUCAGACUCAUAAUCAUGAAUAGGUUGAGGUUCAGUAGCUAUGGGUUCAUAAUUUCAAUUUUGCUUUACCUCUCCUUAGUGAUGUGAUAAAGACUUUAGUGGAAAAGCAUUUGGAGCUUUGAAUGUGUGCUCUAAGAUUCAUAGUUUCGUUCUUAUUGGUGGAAGAACUCAAUCUCUUCUACUGAUUAGUUGAGUGUUUUGAUGAUAGUUUCUUCAAUUCUGAUUUGCUUAGAAGGGAAGCUCAUUGGUUAUCAUCUAGAUCGUGGUUUCAGGUCAGGUGCUAGUCGGCUUAUCCAGCAUGAAGUAUGUGCAUUUACAGAUUAUGUCAUCUUAUAUCACCCAAGCGUUCAACAAUUGCUUGAAUCAUGUGUGGGAUGAGGAACUGAGCUUGAAGCGACUACUCAGUUCUCGUUUUCUCUUCUGAACUCGUCGAUGACGGUUUCCGUUCUUCUCAAUCAUGUUUUGCAAAGUAGUAGCUCAAUCUCUAUCAGUCGGGUUGCAGACUUGCAGGGUUUCAGAUCCAAUUUUGUUUUGAGUUUUGGACUUGAUUAUCGUUUAUCCUUUCUUGUAAGAACUUUUGUGGAUUAGAAGUGAUGACAAGCCUUUUAGAUUCUC